AUAUAGAAGACAGCACGCUAGCGUAUCUAGUCUAUGUAUAUCUAUGGUCGGCACGUCUGGUAGCAUCUCUGGCUGCUGUUGAUCUUGUUUUUGGAGUAAAACACGGUGGAAGCUGAAUUAGUGAGGAUGACUCCUGCUCCUGUCAUCUCUAAGCUCCUCACACAUCUUUACCUGCACAUGAGGAAAAUCACUCCUGUAGAAUGCAGAUGUUCAGAGGGAGAUGAUGCCACAUCUGGUCCAGCUGAUGGAAGGUCUUGAAGUUCUCUGACUGGCCUCGACUGAAGAUGGUCGUCUCACUGGAUUUAAGGUUCAGAUGCUCAGUAACAAACUCCACCAAUGAGCCAACAGGGAAGCUUUAGGUUUAUUAAAUGUUGCUAUGAAGGUAUCGCUGUUUUUCUUUGUGAAUGCAAUGUGCUCCAACUGAAACUUGAAUUAGAACUUAGAAGUAAAUCCUUCCAUCUGAAAGGAUUUAGUUGCAUUAAUAACCUCAUAACAUUCUAAUUUUUAUUCCAGUCUUGGUUGGAAAUAGAAUCUCUGUAUUGAUUCAGGUAAAAACUGAACUUCACAGCAUGUUGGAGCAAAACAACCAGAUGAAAACUGUGAUGGUGUUGGAUUGUCAGACCGUAAUGUUGCAGCUCAAAGCAGCUUUUCUAUCUCAGUUCAUUCUGACAUUCAGCUAUGAAUCAACACAGCAGAUGGUGAUCCAUGCUGUGGAAGUCUCACAUCUCCUGAUUUAAUGGAGCUGCUUUGCACUUUUUACACUGUUUAUUCACCAACACUUUAUUUAAUAAAAGUCCCAUCUAGUUUUUAUGAGGAAUGUGAUGUUUUAAUUUCUCUGUGAAUAACUGCAGUCUAAUGCAACAGCUGGAGUUGUAACAUCUGUCCUGAUAUUGAUCAUGAAGUAUUGAUCAGAAUACUUAUGGUUAGCAGUCAUCCCUGAAGUUUUACAUUAAAAUCUUUACUUGUGUUGUGAACUUUGGUAAGAAGCAGAAACGUUAGCGUUGCCAUGGAUACAUGAGUGUUAAAUUCUGUCCAUGUUUCCAUUUUGGGAAAUGCAGUCCAGUUCCAGAAUGUGGAGGAAUUUAGUCUCACAAUCACAGACAACAAAUAUUAUCUGAAAGUCGGGUUAUUGUUGUUUAUCAGCACAAUACAAAAAGAUUAAUGUUAGAAAUAUUCCAGUUAAGACUCUAGAAUAUCAUGAUUUAUGUAAAUUUACCUCAAUAAUAUGAAUGUUCAGGUUAAGAUUGUACAGUGAUAUUUAUUAUGUAAGUUUAGCUGAUUAAAGUUUAUGACUCUGCACUAAAAUAUUAUUUAAAUUGACAUCAUUAUUAUAAUAUUUAGGGUCAGACCCUACAGUAUUGAGAUUAAGAAAUCAAAUAUUCUAUAAAAUGUAAAUACACUGAACUCAUUUGGAUAUAUUUAAGUGAGACUCUACAAUAUUAUUUGACACAAAUCUAUCUAAAUCAAAAUUUUAAUAAUUUUCACGCCAAACAUUUACUGGACUGAUUUAAAUAUUAAAAUCACUCCUUUCUAAUCCUCUGCUGUACGUUCAAACCUGAGGCCUUAAAUAGAAACACACAAGUAUCUGAUUGAAGGAACUUCUGCAGAGUCCUGGUUCCAGAACAUGAUGAUAGAAUUAUAGACAAACUUUAACAAAAGCUGCCUGAGAGUUUACAGGUUUUUAUGUUGGAUUUCUUCAGUAAUUUAAUGAGAGUUAUCAGCAAUAAUCAAGUGUUCAUUUGAUGAACUUCAUUUCCUAAAACAUCCAGAAUUGGAGCUCAUAUCUUUGGCAGCUGUAAAGUUUCUGCUCCUUCAAAGUUCACAACACAAUGAAUGAAUUCCUAAAACACUCUCAAUGCUGGAGAGCGUUUGUGAUGCUGAAGCAGUGACCAGUUUUUCUGUUUCUUCUCUGGAGAUGCACAAUGAGGGACGUCUGCAGAGACUGAGAAAGAGUCUCACCACAUCCUGACAUGAGGAAAAAGACUUUAUUGAAGACUACAAUGAGAAAAACUAUCAGACAGCAGACGGCUGCAUUCAAGGUGAGCUCUGAACAUUUGAUCUGGAACAGGAAUUCAAUAACGGCAGCAUGAGCUUCAUUUCAGUCUGUAGCUGCUGAAUUCAUGGAUGAAUCAUCUGGCACUAGAGAAGAAGACCAUCAAACAUCCACGUCAGCUGAUGGAGGUCCAAGAGUCUCACCAAACAAACAACCUACAGAGUGAAGACCUCAAAUCUGAUUGGACGGCCUCCUAUUCAGCCACAUUUUAGGCUGUUAGAUUGUUCCAGAUAAGACAAGUACAAGAUUCUUCAGAGCCGUUCUACCACGAGCCUGACAGGAAGAACUCCAACAGCUACUGAAUGUUCCUGUGGUUCCCUCAAGGCUACAGGAGGAGCCCUACGAGGACGAGCCGGUCCACCUGAUGGAGGCCAGUCGCUGCGGUUCAAAGCCAACACCGACUACGUGGACUUCUACUGGACCACACGGAGGCCUUCAAACCGGACCAACAAGUUCAGCGACUCCCCGACUCGUGGGUCUGAGGACGCCGCCGAGCCUCGGCCCAGCCGGCCUCCUGUCUGUGGGUGUUUGAGUGCUGAGAGGUUUGUGGAUGCAUGUGAACGUGUCUGUGUUGAAACAGCAGCUUUGGACUCAGUAACGCCGGGAAAAACCAAGAGCUCCUUUAUUUGUGACUUCCACUAAAAAAACUGAUGAAAAUAAGUUUGCCAGGGUUCUGACUGAUAACAGAUUAUUAAAUAAUGAAAAUAAUCGUUUAAAUAUUCCUUUAAACAAUCCUUUUAGGUCUACAUUUCCUUUACACUGACUUCUUGGUAUAUGUACAAGUAUUUUGGGUGGAAUAUACCAUUAAGCCUGAUGUUCAAGGGUUCUUCUGGGAAUAUACCAUUAAACCAACCUUUUAGGUAAAUGUUCCAGGAUGUUGGGUAGAAUAUACCAUCAGAUCAACCUUUUAGGUCUACAUUGGAAGAUUUUAGAGUAGAAUAUUACUCCAAACCAUCCUUUAGGUCUACAUUUAAGGUGGAAUACUCCUUUACACCAAGAUUUUUUGGUCUACAUUGAAGGAUUUUAGGUGGAAUAUUCCUUUGAACGAACUUUUUAAGUUUAUGUUCAAGGAUGUUGGGUGGAAUAUACCAUCAGACCAACCUCCAAGGUCUACAGUAGUGAAUUUUAGGUGGAAUAUACCAUUAAACUCACCUUUUAGGUCUACAUUGGAGGAUUUUAGGUGGAAUUUUCUUCCAAACCGUCUUUUAGUCUACAUUUAAGGAUGUUUAGGAUGGUAUAUUCUUCCGAACCAACUUCUCAGGUCUACAUUUCAGGUGGAAUAUUCCUCCAUACUAACUUUUUUGGUCUACAUUGAAGGAUUUUUUCUAAACCACCCUUUCGGGUCUAUAUUUGAGGUUUUAGGUGGAAUAUUCCUUUUAACCAGCCCCUCAGGUCUCUUUGAGGAUUUUGGAUGGAAUACUCGGUUAAACCAACAUUUUAGGUGCAUGUCCAAGGAUUUUUGGUGGAAUGUUCCUUUAAGGUGGAUGUUUGAGGACCUUGUAGGUGGAAUACUUCCUGAAACCAACCUUUUAGGUCAACAUUCAAAGAUUUAAGGUGGAAUAUUCCUUUAAACCAACCUAAAUUUCAUGUUUUGAUCAUUAUCAAGUGAGAAACCUCAAUCCAGACUCCUCAUAAUGACGUUUGAGAUUUAUGCUGCUGUUAUUUGUUUAGUCCAGACUAAAUGACAGAAAUCCACAACUGUAAUUUUAUUUCAGGACUCGGUUAUUAAAUGUCAAAACAAUCCAUGUGACUCUAAAAACUCAACAGCUUUACAAACUCUAAGAUUAAACUCUCCACAAGGAUCCAAAAUAAGUUGGACUUCUACAUGAGAGCUUUAAUUAUUCUUCAUCUACUUCCUGAAAAGUUUGGUCAAUAAAAAAGACAAAAACUAAUAUUUUCAGCUGAACUAAAGACAGACUUUGUGAUUUUUCUGCUCACAUGUUGUGUUGUUGUAAACUUACUCUUUCAAAUAAAUAGCCGCCUAACCCCCUGGAAACCAGCGUUUGUCCUGUUUUUGUGUUGCUCCUCGGCGACCCUAGACAGCCGGGUCGUAAUGUUUUUUGAGCAACACACCAUACUAUGACGUUUUUACAAUGAUGGUUCUACUAUGGAACCAGUUUGACAUGUUCAGGUGUUCUUUGUGUGAAAACUCAGAGAUUUCAGGUAUCAGAAGGUGGUUUUCAACUUUCUUUGUUAACUUUCUGCUUCAACUUUAAACUAAAUUUCCUUCACUAACCCAGCCCUCUGGACUUCCAGUAAGCUGUGUUCCUAUUGGCUGUCCAGGUGGCUGCUUGGUGUUAUCAGGAACACCUGAGCAGCUCAGUGUCUUCCUGCUUUAUUUAGCUGCAGACAAACAUUUCCUCUGCUUCUCUUCACCACUGAACCGGGUUUGGCUCCUUUGCUUUAGUUUGUUCUUUAGGCGUUGGCUUGCAGCUUCCAGCAGUAAAAUCGUCUUUAAUGUGUUUCUUGGUGUGUUUUAGGGCUUUGUACUGGAUAGUUGUCUUGGUAAAUGUGGUUCUUUAGCCACAGUUAGCACAUGGUGCUAAUGUGUGCAGUGAUUAGUGGAUUUGGUGCAGCUGAGUUGUGUCUUUAUCUUGGCUGUAGUGAGUCUUUAGAGGUUUUUGGUCAGACACAUUCUGUAUUCUUGUUUGUGAACCAACGUUGGUUGUCCAGAAGGUAAGAGUUCCUGUCCUGAUUCUCUGUUCUCAGAGGUUCUCUGGUAGGCUGCAGGAGACUUUAGCGUUUGGGUUGUGCUAGUUUGGUUUUUGUAUGGUUUCAUUUGGACGACUAUCUUGAGGCCCCUCCAUGUGGUUUAGUGAGGUUUUCUGGAACAGUUCUACAAAGCAACCUGCAGCAGAAGAGACUUUGAGAGUUUUUAGGAAGUUCUGGAGACCAGACUUUAGAGCAGCAGAAACAUUUGUCAGCAGUUUGAGCAGGAGAAGGUGAGCUUCAGAGUAGAAAUGAGACGGAAACCUUCUUGACCCGUGUGGUGAGGUCCUGUACCAAGAGUUUGAGCAGGUUGUGAAGAGUCUGUAGUUCUUUGGUCUGAAAGCACAAGAAGAGUCGACUCAUUAAAGGAGAAAACAGGAGAUAUUGUUGGUUCUUCUGUCGCUCUGCAGUUUCCUUAGACUGAAUAUCAAGUUUAUAUUUUAAAUGAUUUCCCAUGUGAGCCCAAGAAGACUUCAAUAAACUCCCUCCAUCCCCUGGACACAACAUAUUUUAUUACCAUGUUAAAUCUUUUUUUUAAAAAUGUUUUUGAGUUUUAAUCAUAGUUUUAGCAUAGUUUUUUUCUCUUUGCUUGUUUAGUUUUGUCAUCUGUGUAAAAGGUGCUAAACAAAUAAAGUUGAAUUGAUAAACUGAAUAAUUGACUAACUCAUGAUUGUGACAACAGAAGUAUUUUCAUUGUGAUUUAAGGGUUUAUUUCAUUUUUAAGGUUGGGGUUAAAAUCUUGACA